rnacentral:rRNA from 1 species
AUUGAACGCUGGCGGCAUGCUUUACACAUGCAAGUCGAACGGUAACAGGCCGCAAGUUGCUGACGAGUGGCGAACGGGUGAGUAAUGCAUCGGAACGUGCCCCGUCGUUGGGGAUAACUACUCGAAAGAGUAGCUAAUACCGCAUACGAUCUAUGGAUUAAAGCGGGGGACCGUAAUGCCUCGCGCGAUUGGUGCGGCCGAUGUCAGAUUAGUUAGUUGGUGGGGUAAAGGCUCACCAAGCCAACGAUCUGUAGCUGAUCUGAGAGGACGACCAGCCACACUGGGACUGAGACACGGCCCAGACUCCUACGGGAGGCAGCAGUAGGGAAUCUUGGACAAUGGGCGCAAGCCUGAUCCAGCAAUGCCGCGUGAAGGAAGAAGGCCUUCGGGUUGUAAACUGCUGUUGUACGGAACGAAACGGCUCUGGUUAAUACCCGGGGGUAAUGACGGUACCGUAAGAAUAAGCACCGGCUAACUACGUG